AUUGAACGCUGGCGGCAGGCCUAACACAUGCAAGUCGAAUGGUAACAGGAAACAGCUUGCUGUUUCGCUGACGAGUGGCGGACGGGUGAGUAAUGUCUGGGAAACUGCCUGAUGGAGGGGGAUAACUACUGGAAACGGUAGCUAAUACCGCAUAACGUCGCAAGACCAAAGAGGGGGACCUUCGGGCCUCUUGCCAUCAGAUGUGCCCAGAUGGGAUUAGCUAGUAGGUGGGGUAACGGCUCACCUAGGCGACGAUCCCUAGCUGGUCUGAGAGGAUGACCAGCCACACUGGAACUGAGACACGGUCCAGACUCCUACGGGAGGCAGCAGUGGGGAAUAUUGCACAAUGGGCGCAAGCCUGAUGCAGCCAUGCCGCGUGUAUGAAGAAGGCCUUCGGGUUGUAAAGUACUUCCAGCGGGGAGGAAGGGAGUAAAGUUAAUACCUUUGCUCAUUGACGUUACCCGCAGAAGAAGCACCGGCUAACUCCGUG
rnacentral:rRNA from 1 species